CCAAAUAACUUGACAAAUUAUAUUAUAUUUUCAAAAUAAAAUUUAAAAAUAAAUAAAAAUAAUAUAUAAAAAACGAAUUAAAAAAAAUAAUGUUGUCAACAAAACAGUAAACCCUAAACUCUAAUACUAAACCCUAAACUCAAAUCCUAAACCCUAAAUCCUUGGGUAAACCCCUAAACCCUUGGAAAAAGACUAAACAUGUUGUCAACAAAACACUAAACCCUAAACUCUAAUCCUAAACCCUAAACCCUUGGAAAAACCCUAAACCCUUGGGUAAACCCUAAACCCUUAGGUAAACCCUAAACCCUUGGAAAAACACUAAACAUUUGGAUAAAUUCUAAAUUAUAAAUCUUAAACACUAAACUCUAAAUCUUAAAAAUAAAUUUUUUUUUUAAAUAAUCUUUUUUUAGAACUAUUGUUAUUUUUAUUUAUUUAAUUUUUUAAUUUUUUAUUUUAAAAACAUAAUAUAAUUUGGCAAGUUAUUUUGUUUCCUUAAUUAA
rnacentral:lncRNA from 1 species